rnacentral:rRNA from 1 species
GUGAGUCAUCGAGUCUUUGAACGCACAUUGCGCCCGCCAGCAUUCUGGCGGGCAUGCCUGUUCGAGCGUCAUUUCAACCCUCGACUUCCCUUUGGGGAAAUCGGCGUUGGGGCUCCUCCGCCCUCUGUGGCGGCAGGGCCCUCAAAACCAGUGGCGGGCCCGUCUGGUUGGCUCCGAGCGCAGUACCGAACGCAAGUUCUCUCUCUCGCUCUGCAGCCCCGGUCGGUGCCCAGCCGUCAAGCCGCGCAGGCGGCCCUGCUUGCAGGACCGCCUCGCACUUUUCACAAGGUUGACCUCGGAUCAGGUAGGAUUACCCGCUGAACUUAA